UGGGGAAUAUUGGACAAUGGGCGAAAGCCUGAUCCAGCCAUGCCGCGUGUGUGAAGAAGGUCUUCGGAUUGUAAAGCACUUUAAGUUGGGAGGAAGGGCAUUAACCUAAUACGUUAGUGUUUUGACGUUACCGACAGAAUAAGCACCGGCUAACUCUGUGCCAGCAGCCGCGGUAAUACAGAGGGUGCAAGCGUUAAUCGGAAUUACUGGGCGUAAAGCGCGCGUAGGUGGUUUGUUAAGUUGGAUGUGAAAUCCACGCGCUCAACCUGGGAACUGCAUUCAAAACUGACUGACUAGAGUAUGGUAGAGGGUGGUGGAAUUUCCUGUGUAGCGGUGAAAUGCGUAGAUAUAGGAAGGAACACCAGUGGCGAAGGCGACCACCUGGACUAAUACUGACACUGAGGUGCGAAAGCGUGGGGAGCAAACA
rnacentral:rRNA from 1 species